rnacentral:tRNA from 1 species
GCCCUUGUGGCGGAAUUGGUAGACGCGACGGACUCAAAAUCCGUUGGUAGCAAUAUCGUGUCGGUUCGAGUCCGACCAGGGGCACCA